UACAGAGGUCCCAAGCGUUGUUCGGAUUUAUUGGGCGUAAAGGGUGCGUAGGCGGCGGAGUAAGUUGGGUGUGAAAUCCCGGGGCUUAACCUCGGAAUUGCAUUCGAUACUGCUUCGCUAGAGUACUGGAGAGGAGGCUGGAAUUUACGGUGUAGCAGUGAAAUGCGUAGAUAUCGUAAGGAAGGCCGGUGGCGAAAGCGAGCCUCUGGACAGUUACUGACGCUGAUGCGACGAAG
rnacentral:rRNA from 1 species